AUCAACUUUCGAUGGUAGGAUAGAGGCCUACCAUGGUGGUAACGGGUAACGGGGUGUUAGGGCACGACACCGGAGAGGGUGCCUGAGAAACGGCUACCACAUCCAAGGAUGGCAGCAGGCGCGCAAAUUACCCAAUCCCGACACGGGGAGGUAGUGACAAUAAAUAACAAUACGGGGUUCUUUCGGAUUUCGUAAUUGGAAUGAGUACAAUUUAAAUCUCUUAACGAGGAACAAUUGGAGGGCAAGUCUGGUGCCAGCAGCCGCGGUAAUUCCAGCUCCAAUAGCGUAUAUUAAAGUUGCUGCAGUUAAAAAGCUCGUAGUUGAAUUUCGGGAUCAAUAUGUUUGGUCGUGCCUCGGUACGCACUGGCUUAUUGGUUUCUCCCUUCUGACGAACCAUGAUGUCAUCAAUUUGGUGUCAUGGGAAAUCAGGACUGUUACUUUGAAAAAAUUAGAGUGUUUAAAGCAGGCUCACGCUUGAAUACAUUAGCAUGGAAUAAUGAAAUAGGACGUUUGAUUCUAUUUUGUUGGUUUCUAGGAUCGACGUAAUGAUUAAUAGGGAUAGUUGGGGCAUUAGUAUUCAAUUGUCAGAGGUGAAAUUCUUGGAUUUAUUGAAGACUAACUACUGCGAAAGCAUUUGCCAAGGAUGUUUUCAUUAAUCAAGAACGAAAGUUAGGGGAUCGAAGACGAUCAGAUACCGUCGUAGUCUUAACCAUAAACUAUGCCGACUAGGGAUCGGAUGAUGUUAAUUUUUUAAUGACUCAUUCGGCGCCUUACGGGAAACCAAAGUGUUUGGGUUC
rnacentral:rRNA from 1 species